AGCCAAAGGCAGACACUUAACUGACUAAGCCACCCAGGCGCCCCUAACAUUGGUUAUUUUAAACUUCAUUUUAUCUAAAAGAUUAAAGAAGAGGCAGUUUAUCAUGUUGUAUCCCAGGGGCGCCCGGCUGGCCCAGUCAAUAGAGCGUGUGACUCUUAAUCUCGGGGUCAUGAGUUCCAGCCCCACACUGGGCAUCGAGCCUGCUUAAAAUAAAUAAUUAAUUUUAAAAAAUGUGGUAUCUCAUACUAAGCAUACCAUUUGAGAAGUCCUCAGAAUACUUUGCCCAUCUCAUCUCAUGGGACUUCAUUCUGUCCCGGAAGCAGGGAAUCUGUUUAAUCCAAACAUUCAAGGAGUGGAGCCUCCAUGUUGAAACCAGUCCAUAGACAGAGCUUCUGACUCUUGGAGACGUGGGGAAAUAUAAAGAUAGGGUAAACAAUUGAAAUAGAUUCUCUUCGUGUUAUUGCCUGGAAAGCUGGCCUCUGAGGACAAGGCAAACCCACCCGAACUGUUAUGGUUAGUUUGCUGCAGACUCUCAUGCUAGAAUUUGUGGCUGGAAAACCCAAGACCUCAAGGGAACCAAAGAGUUUCAGGUUUCCCUGAUAAGUACAUUCACCCACAUAAAAUAACAAAGACACUAAAUGGAAUAAAUAUCAAUAUUAUUACAUAUAUUUUAAAUUAGUAAUAUCAGGCACAGGGCAGUUAAUUUAGUGAAGUAGUACAGCAUAGCACAUAAUGGCCUGGGCUCUGGAGUCAGAUUGUCUGGAUUCAAAUCUAAUUUACCAUCUGUCUGACCUCAGGUGACUUCCUUAACCUCUCUAGGUUUUAGAAAUGAA